rnacentral:rRNA from 1 species
GAUGAACGCUAGCUACAGGCUUAACACAUGUAAGUCGAGGGACCGGCGCACGGGUGAGUAUCACGUAUCCCACCUGCCCUUUACUCGGGGAUAGCCUUACGAAAGAAAGAUUAAUACCCGAUAUAAAGGAUUGGGUUGCGUUCCAUUAGGGUGUUGGUGAGGGAACGGCCCACCAAUCCUUCGAUGGAUAGGGGUUCUGAGAGGAAGGUCCCCCAGAAUGGAGCUGAGACACGGUCCAAAACGCUACGGAAGGCAGGAGUGAGGAAGAUUAGUGAAUGAGCGCUAGCCUGAACCAGCCGAGUAGCGUGAAGGAGGAAGGCUUAUGGGUCGUAAACUUCUUGUAUAUGGGGAUAGGUACCAUACGAAUAAGGACCGGCUAAUUCCGUGCCAGCAGCCGCGGUAAUUC